GACGAACGCUGGCGGCGUGCUUAACACAUGCAAGUCGAACGGUAAGGCCCUUCGGGGUACACGAGUGGCGAACGGGUGAGUAACACGUGGGUGAUCUGCCCUGCACUUCGGGAUAAGCCUGGGAAACUGGGUCUAAUACCGGAUAGGACUCCGGACUGCAUGGUCUGGGGUGGAAAGCUUUUGCGGUGUGGGAUGGGCCCGCGGCCUAUCAGCUUGUUGGUGGGGUGAUGGCCUACCAAGGCGACGGCGGGUAGCCGGCCUGAGAGGGUGACCGGCCACACUGGGACUGAGAUACGGCCCAGACUCCUACGGGAGGCAGCAGGGGGGAAUAUUGCACAAUGGGCGCAAGCCUGAUGCAGCGACGCCGCGUGAGGGAUGACGGCCUUCGGGUUGUAAACCUCUUUCAGCAUCGACGAAGCGAAAGUGACGGUAGGUGCAGAAGAAGGACCGGCCAACUACGUGCCAGCCGCCGCAGUAA
rnacentral:rRNA from 1 species